GCGGCCAUGGCCUAGUGGUUAUGGCGUCAGUCUUACAGUUCCUGUGAACACUGAAGGUCGGUGGUUCGAUCCCGCCUGGCCGUA
rnacentral:tRNA from 1 species